rnacentral:lncRNA from 1 species
UGCAGCUCUUGUGGAACCAAGUUCUCUUUAUCACCUGCCACUAGAGACUUCCUUUGCCCCUCCCUUCCCGGCUCCAGCCUGGGUGUUGUGCAAGAGCCAGAGGAAUUUGUGAUAAUGGAGCCACAAGCCCAGGCCCAACCCAGGCCCAAGGAACUUGACCUGAAGCAGGAGGGUAAGCAAGAACCUCCUAGCUCCCAGGCCAGAAGGGUGGCCGGCAGCCACAAGGAAACUCCUAGUCCUUCUAAAUGCUGCCAAGGAGAGGAGCAACGGGAAUACAGUGGGCAGGGCUGCCAUCUUGCCUGGGAAAGUCACCGAGGGAAACUACUCAAGAAGGAAGACCCACCAUGAAUGUUACCACCAUCCUAUGCUGGGAGCUUGGACUGAGUAAGAAGGAGGAAAGAAGCUAAGCCCUACUGUUUGUCAUUCUCUAUUUCUUGGUUGAGAUGCAAGGUCACCGGCUGCCUUGCACUCCCCAUGUCAAGCCUUCCUUGAAGGAAUGGAGACAUUCCUUCAAACCACGAGCCAAAAUGAACCCUUGCUUCCUUAAUAUUCUUUGUUGUUAUGUGUGUGUGUGUGUGUGUGUGUGUGUGUGUGUGUGUGUGUUUUGUUUUGUUAUUUCAUCACAGCAAGGAGACAUAUAACCAACACAAGUAGAUGUUCACUAGACACAGUGGUGGGAAGGUAGGAGUUUCGAACAGAACAAACCCUGACCAGAACUGUCUCUCAGGACAAGCUGCUUUCACCUUCCACUUCUCCAAGGAAUCGGGGGACAGAAGGGCAGAGUGGGGUUGCCUUCACAGUCUACUUCCUUGAUCUGGAACAUUCUGCUCACAGCUACUGAAAUCCCCAUUGCAACCAUCUAAUAACAACCUGCUCUCUGGGCUGAAGAAAUGGUUCAGCGGUUAAGAGCACUGGCUGUUCUUCUUUAGAACCUGGGUUCAAUUCCCAGCAUCCACACGGCAGCUCAUACCUGUUUGUAACUCUAAGAUCUGAUACCCUCACACAGACAUACAUGCAGGCAAAAUACCAAUGCAAG